ACAUGCAAGUCGAACGAUGAAAGCCCCUUCGGGGGUACAUGAAGUGGCGUAAGGACUAGUAAUGCGUUCCUACGUACCCUUAGGUCGAGGAUAGCCCCGGGAAACUGGGAGUAAUACUCGAUAAUGUCUCCGGACCAAAGCCUUCGGGCGCCUUUGGAGCGAGGAACGUCCUAUCAGGUAGUUGGUGAGGUAACGGCUCACCAAGCCAAAGACGGGUAGCGGGUGUGAGAGCAUGACCCGCAGUAUCGGGACUGAGACACUGCCCGGACUCCUACGGGAGGCUGCAGUAACGAAUAUUCCGCAAUGCGCGAAAGCGUGACGGAGCAAUGCCGCGUGUGGGAUGAAGCUUUUCGGAGUGUAAACCACUGUCAGAGUUUAGGAACACAAUGACCAGACUCAAAGGAAGGGCCGGCUAACUUCGUGCCAGCAGCCGCGGUAAUACGAAGGGCCCGAGCGUUAAUCGGAAUCACUGGGCUUAAAGCGUGUGUAGGCGGACAUGAAGGCGAUUUGUGAAAUCCCUCGUCUCAAACGAGGAACUGCAGGUCGAACCACGUGUCUUGAGACAGGUAGGGGUGGUCGGAACCGUAGGUGGAGUGGUGAUAUGCGUUGAUAUCUACGGGAACGCCGAAGGAGAAGUCAGGCCACUGGGCCUGUUCUGACGCUGAGACACGAAAGCGUGGGGAGCGAACGGGAUUAGAUACCCCGGUAGUCCACGCCGUAAACGAUGUGCACUAGGUCGGGGAAGUUCUGACACUAAUCCCGGCCGAAGCAAAAGUGUUAAGUGCACCGCCUGGGGAGUACGGUCGCAAGGCUAAAACUCAAAGGAAUUGACGGGG
rnacentral:rRNA from 1 species